AGUGAACGCUGGCGGUAGGCCUAACACAUGCAAGUCGAACGGCAGCACAGUAAGAGCUUGCUAUUACGGGUGGCGAGUGGCGGACGGGUGAGGAAUACAGCGGCAUCUACUUUUUCGUGGGGGAUAACUUAGGGAAACUUACGCUAAUACCUCAUACGACCUACGGGUGAAAGCAGGGGAUCUUCGUACCUUGCCCUAUUUAAUGAGCCGAUGUCGGAUUAGCUAGUUGGCGGGGUAAAGGCCCACUAAGGCGACGAACCGUAGCUGGUCUGAGAGGAUGAUCAGCAAAACUGGAACUGAGACACGGUCAAGACUCCUACGGGAGGAAGAAGAGGGGAAUAUUGGAAAAGGGGGGCAAGCCUGAUCCAGACAUACCGCGUGGGUGAAGAAGGCCUUCGGGUUGUAAAGCCUGUUUGUAGGGAAAGAAAAGCAGCAGGUUAAUAACCCGCUGUUCUGACGGUACCCAAAGAAUAAGCAACGGCUAACUUCGUG
rnacentral:rRNA from 1 species